AGCAAUACCUCGCUGAUACGGGGGUGAAUCCGCAGCCUCUAGAAGGCUAUCAUAGGCUCUCCACCUCCUACACCCAGUGGUGGAUUUAACGGUACGCGGACUGAGCGCGGGAGGCCCCGUCUAUUUAGGGGC
rfam:Anopheles gambiae M scf_1925489235 genomic scaffold, whole genome shotgun sequence.